rnacentral:rRNA from 1 species
AUGUUAUCACGGGAGACACACGGCGGGUGCUAACGUCCGUCGUGAAGAGGGAAACAACCCAGACCGCCAGCUAAGGUCCCAAAGUCAUGGUUAAGUGGGAAACGAUGUGGGAAGGCCCAGACAGCCAGGAUGUUGGCUUAGAAGCAGCCAUCAUUUAAAGAAAGCGUAAUAGCUCACUGGUCGAGUCGGCCUGCGCGGAAGAUGUAACGGGGCUAAACCAUGCACCGAAGCUGCGGCAGCGACACUGUGUGUUGUUGGGUAGGGGAGCGUUCUGUAAGCCUGUGAAGGUGUGCUGUGAGGCAUGCUGGAGGUAUCAGAAGUGCGAAUGCUGACAUAAGUAACGAUAAAGCGGGUGAAAAGCCCGCUCGCCGGAAGACCAAGGGUUCCUGUCCAACGUUAAUCGGGGCAGGGUGAGUCGACCCCUAAGGCGAGGCCGAAAGGCGUAGUCGAUGGGAAACAGGUUAAUAUUCCUGUACUUGGUGUUACUGCGAAGGGGGGACGGAGAAGGCUAUGUUGGCCGGGCGACGGUUGUCCCGGUUUAAGCGUGUAGGCUGGUUUUCCAGGCAAAUCCGGAAAAUCAAGGCUGAGGCGUGAUGACGAGGCACUACGGUGCUGAAGCAACAAAUGCCCUGCUUCCAGGAAAAGCCUCUAAGCAUCAGGUAACAUCAAAUCGUACCCCAAACCGACACAGGUGGUCAGGUAGAGAAUACCAAGGCGCUUGAGAGAACUCGGGUGAAGGAACUAGGCAAAAUGGUGCCGUAACUUCGGGAGAAGGCACGCUGAUAUGUAGGUGAAGUCCCUCGCGGAUGGAGCUGAAAUCAGUCGAAGAUACCAGCUGGCUGCAACUGUUUAUUAAAAACACAGCACUGUGCAAACACGAAAGUGGACGUAUACGGUGUGACGCCUGCCCGGUGCCGGAAGGUUAAUUGAUGGGGUCAGCGCAAGCGAAGCUCUUGAUCGAAGCCCCGGUAAACGGCGGCCGUAACUAUAACGGUCCUAAGGUAGCGAAAUUCCUUGUCGGGUAAGUUCCGACCUGCACGAAUGGCGUAAUGAUGGCCAGGCUGUCUCCACCCGAGACUCAGUGAAAUUGAACUCGCUGUGAAGAUGCAGUGUACCCGCGGCAAGACGGAAAGACCCCGUGAACCUUUACUAUAGCUUGACACUGAACAUUGAGCCUUGAUGUGUAGGAUAGGUGGGAGGCUUUGAAGUGUGGACGCCAGUCUGCAUGGAGCCGACCUUGAAAUACCACCCUUUAAUGUUUGAUGUUCUAACGUGGACCCGUGAUCCGGGUUGCGGACAGUGUCUGGUGGGUAGUUUGACUGGGGCGGUCUCCUCCUAAAGAGUAACGGAGGAGCACGAAGGUUGGCUAAUCCUGGUCGGACAUCAGGAGGUUAGUGCAAUGGCAUAAGCCAGCUUGACUGCGAGCGUGACGGCGCGAGCAGGUGCGAAAGCAGGUCAUAGUGAUCCGGUGGUUCUGAAUGGAAGGGCCAUCGCUCAACGGAUAAAAGGUACUCCGGGGAUAACAGGCUGAUACCGCCCAAGAGUUCAUAUCGACGGCGGUGUUUGGCACCUCGAUGUCGGCUCAUCACAUCCUGGGGCUGAAGUAGGUCCCAAGGGUAUGGCUGUUCGCCAUUUAAAGUGGUACGCGAGCUGGGUUUAGAACGUCGUGAGACAGUUCGGUCCCUAUCUGCCGUGGGCGCUGGAGAACUGAGGGGGGCUGCUCCUAGUACGAGAGGACCGGAGUGGACGCAUCACUGGUGUUCGGGUUGUCAUGCCAAUGGCACUGCCCGGUAGCUAAAUGCGGAAGAGAUAAGUGCUGAAAGCAUCUAAGCACGAAACUUGCCCCGAGAUGAGUUCUCCCUGACCCUUUAAGGGUCCUGAAGGAACGUUGAAGACGACGACGUUGAUAGGCCGGGUGUGUAAGCGCAGCGAUGCGUUGAGCUAACCGGUACUAAUGAACCGUGAGGCUUAACCUUACAACGCCGAAGGUGUUU